UGCUGCGGCGCUGGCGAUCUUGCCGAUCGUUGGCUGUAAUGCGGAUUCAUCGCGGGCGUGCUCUCGUCGGUAUUGGAUUCUUUCUGACGCUGUCGCUGAUCAGGAGCACCCGGAUCGGAUUAUCUGGAUGCGAUCAAGCAAAGGAUGUAGCAAAUGCCGCGAGUGAUCGAUCGCCAGAUAAGUUCUUGCUCCCUCAAUCUCUCUAGGAUUGCAUGGAGUUUAGAUUGUUCUUGUGUGUGAUUGAUUGGAAUGUGUUUGAUUAAUCUCCCCCAAAUGUUUUUGAUUUUUAUAUUCCUUGCGACUGUCCAUCCUUGGCGGGCACAUGUCCAGUGUCUUUUCUGGUCUGCGAAUGUUUGAGGAACGAUUCCCCUAGCUUGGCUUUGGACAAAAGCCAGCCUUUUCAGAUAAGUCGGCUUGAGAGGCAACUAACUAUGAUGAUUGUCGAUCGAUGCGUGCUUUUGCCUUACCUGUAUUCUUCUUUUUCUUCGCAUUGUUUGCCUCGGUUUGAGCCGAGGCGAGAGAGAGAGAGAGAGAGAGAAAGAGAGAGUUUUUGCUCGCUCUUGAAACCAAAGCGUCUACAUUAUAUCGUAUGCGCAUAAAGAUGACUGCUGUCGAGUCCUCCUAGUGGCAGUUAAACUGGGACCAGUUUUAACAACCUUUUGUGGUGGGCUCACGGCAAGCUGGAGCCGCUGGUUGUGGCUCCGUGUGAGAUAUGCUGCUGCUGAUAUGUAUGUGCUAUAGGGGCCCGUGCGCACGCUAUCCCCUCCCCUUAGAAAAAAGAAGAAUGCUUUGGGUCCCGCGCGACAUUCUCGUGAGAUGGAAAAGGAGUCGUCCCUCCCUUCCCUCCUCCUCCCCCCAAGUUUUUAAGCCUCUCUCUCCACACUAAAUGAUUUUUAGUAUUGACUAUUUGCCUGUGCCUGUGGUUUCUUCUGGCUUGCCUGUUUCGUUGUCUGGCUUGGGCCUCCCUACCUAGUCUGAGUUCUAGAACUGUUGCAUUGCCAGGGUCUAGUUUACUUUCACAUCAUACCUAUGGACAUCAUAGGAUGUUUGUACUGUGGUGUUGGGGGCUUCCAGCAUGCAGGUCUACGGGGGUGUGCUGCUGUGCUGUGUGCACUGUUGGGGUUUUGUUUGCCUUCUUUCUAACUGUGAAAGGAUACAAAUCACUGCACUGGCUUCCCUCCUAGUACCUCACAUGCAUUUGAUCAUCAUGUGUGGCCUACUAACUCCGUCUUAGCUUACACCCCCUUCUUUCGGCCAAUUGUCUCUACCUGCAUUACCAGUUGAAUCAAUGAAUGCGUAUCAGCUGGUCAGCCAGACGAACCGAGGAAAAUUUAAAAACUGAGCUCGACACUUGAUGUGUCGAAUGGAUGGGAAUGUUUAGGAUCCGUCACGACCACACGUUGUGUGCGUGACAUGUAAGAUAUGCGAUCAGAUAUCGCUCUUGGAAGAGUGUGAUCUCCUCUUUCCGUUCGUAGAAUUACUAAAUAGCGCCUACGGCUACAAGGGGGAAAGCCUCCUUUAAUCUCAUGCUGAUUGUCGGCAUUGCAUCCUGACUGUUCUGCAAUCUUUGAUGUAGAUAGCUAUCGGCUUACAACCCCGUACUGGCUAUAGAGCCAGCUUUGGCUUGUUCUUGGUUGUCCUUCUUGGUUCUUUAAAGCAAUUUGAGUGAUUACUAUAUUCUAGCUCAGAACUCAGAAGUUCAUAGCUUCUAAUAAUAAAAUUUGGAUGUUUUUUGCAGGGAAAAUCUCACCGCAGUAGCUGGUUCUGCUUGUACUGGUGGCUGCUGAUGAUGGGAACUGGUGAACAGAAGCGAAGAGAUACAAGUAGGUAGGGGCCUCAACUCUCACAGCGCUGAAGCAGCUAUACUCUGCACCGCAAACUUAAUGACAAGUUUGGAACAGCAGGUGUGUAUUGGUGCAAGGAAGAUGGGAUUGGAGUCGGGAGUGGAUGGAUGGGAUGGGACUGGUAAAGCAGUCUCUGCUCGGGUGUGCCAGAGAAGGCGGAGACUCUCUCAUCGCACAAGAGCUGAGAUGUGACUCUUCACUUAGUCCUUGGUAGAGCUGGGAAGGAAAGAAGACCCCUUCAUAGAGAGCCUGCCCGUGGUAUGUACAGCGAUCACAUUUUACUCUCUUUGACAAAGACGAUCUGGGGAGAAUCUAUUUGACUCAGACUAGAUACGAACAAAUUUUCUAAAGGAAAUCGAAAUCGGCAGAGAAUAUGAUAUGAAUGCUACAAGAAAAGCGGAGUGAUUCUGUUAGCAACAUUGGUUUGAGUAGCCAACCGGCCAGCCUGCCUACCACUAGCCAGCCACCGUUGGAAAGAAUGCCAAGUUUCGGCUGAAGUACAUGCACAAAAAUACAUGGAACCAACUCUGGUGUUUGAGAAAGGAAGAUGCCUUUUCCGGUUUCCAAAACAACCCCGGAGGGAGCGGAAGCAUGGAAGGUGAACAAUGCGGAAGCAGCAACGAAUAUAGGGACAAAGGCAACAAAAAACAAGACACAUUCCGGAACAUCUGGCUGGGGAGCAGACACCAGGCAACCAGCAAAGGUUUCCUGCUAUGGGCUUGAUGAGAGCCCCUCAAAAGCAGCGGGUCUGUGCAAGUGGUGGCGGUUUCUUCGACUGCAGCACGCUGAGCUACUCCCAAGGUAGAGUUAACUAAACUGUGCCUCGGUAAGGUCCCUUGUGCACGCCAUGGCUGGUACCAUCAUCAUGUCGACCAUAUGGCUUGUCAAGUCGUGCCCGUUUAUGCUCCAGUUUGGGCUUCCUUUCUGGCCCAGGCGGGGAGCCACACUUGCCACGGCUCCAGAACUUUGAAAUCAACCAGCAGGAAGUAGCAUGCUGCGUGUCGAAGCUUUGGAUGGCAAUAGAUCGAGAUGUGGAAUCGUCUAUCGAGUGCGUGCGUGGGCUUGUUGGGCUGGUAUUUCAUGGGCUCUGUGUCGUGUGGCCGACAUGCUCGACUUACGAGACAUGGGGCUCACGUCCGACCACCAGGAGUCUGAAAUGAAUACUUACAGCAGUUUUACUGGAGAAAAGAAGGAAAAGAGGCGAAUUUCCUGGUUUUGGAGAAUCUAAUUCGGUUGCAGGUGCAUCACUUAUGUCGCAUGAAUAAUGCAAGGAGAAAUCAGGCGAGCACAUGAGAUUUUGGAAGUUGACUGGAGGAGCUGGAAAAAAAAACUGGCAAAUAGUUUAUGGCACAGGAACGAUUCAGGAGGAGGAGGACCUCGCUGCUCAUCAUUUGGCGCCUUAAAUGCGAAACACUCUUCUUCGUCUCCCUCGGAAACGAGGCGAUGGAUCGCGAAGGAGUACACACACCAAAGCCAAAGGUUCUAUGCCAGGAAGGAGUUUUGGGACCCAUCCCUGUUAAAACACCGCGCAUUUUCUCCGCGAGCAUUUUAUUCACUUGGAUCACCGACAGGAUUGUUCCAACGAUCAGACAAACAAAACCGUUUAAGAGCGGCCAAAGUUGUGUGUGUGUGUGAUUUUGCUUUCUUACUCUAGACAAUGUUGUUAUUAAACACUAUAGAAUAAAAGGUGGUGGUGGCGUCACCCAUUUGAUC